UGUUAAAUAAUCGUAACGACUAAACUAAAUCAGUUUUUUAACCCUCCUCGUGGAAAGCGGACGUGUUUUUAGUGUGUAUACUGUUAUUUAUGUAUCCUAAAAAUGUCUAGGGGCUUACGGUGUCUGAAUUUGUGUAUUAAAAGUAAAGAAGCUGUUGAAACCCUGAAAUUGCGACUCACACACGAAGAGUUUUCCGAAGGAACAACAAUGUCUCAAAAGACGUUGGCGGUACUCCCACAAAUAAAGGGAGACGAAUCUAAAGAUGCUCCAUACCCCAUGACUAUUCUUGACAAUGUUAAUGACAAUGCUUUUUUUGAGCAAAAUCCAGAAUUAUCUUUCAACCCAAGCCUCAUCAAAAAAUUAUUGUUAAUAAAUUAGCGGGACAUGAAGCUACGGUACAUUCACAAACAAACGGAGACGAACCUAAAAAUGAUCCAGAAACAAUUAUGACCUACACUAUUCUCGAAAAUGUUAUUGACAGUGUUAUUUUUGAGCAAAAUCCAGAGUUAUAUCUCUGCAACCCAAAGGUGAUCAAGAAGUUAUUAUCAAUGAACCAUUAGCAGGAGGAGCGGCUGAAACUACCGACCUUGUAAAAGACAACAUCCCUAUUAUUAUUAUACAACCAAAUGGAACAGUUGUUUCUAAUGAGGAAAAUAGUAUUGCCAUGAAUUCAUUCAGUGCUGCGCUGACCUCAAUCUUACUGGUGUAUCAGACCUUGACUUCCUGAUGAACGAAAGUGUUCUGGAACCAUCUUGCAAUGAAACAAUAAGUGCUGAAAUUAUGACGUUUCCAUUUGAUAAUAAUAGUUCAAGUAUAGAAAGUUAUGAUCCCCAGUCUAAGCAGACAGUGACAACUCUUCAGAACAAUAAAUCCACAGAUGAUAAACAAGCAAUGGCUAUGAAUAUUGACAGAGAAGAUAAUGAUAAUAAUGAAGAAGACAUUAGUUCAGAAGAUCAAAGCAGUGAUCGGGCUAGCACUGGUUUGUCCAAACAUAAAAUCAAAAAACCAAAUAAAAGGCUAGAAAAAAAGAAACUGAAGAGUUCUGGUGUAAAUAAAGCAGUAAAGCCGAAUCCAUGUGCUAAGAAAAAAUGUCAAAAUAAUUGUAAAUCAGUAAGUGAAACUGACAGAAAGCAAAUAUUUAAUGCCUAUUAUGAACUUGAGACCUAUGAAGAAAAGAAAAGUUGGCUAAUUCAAUGUAUAAAGCAAAAAGAAAUAAGAAGAAAACGUACCAAGAAUAAUAAUUCCAAGCGACAAAAAACUAUAUAAUAUAACUUAACAGUACAAGGAAAACAAAAAAGAGUUUGUCAGCAGUUCAUACUAAAAACCAUGGAUAUCAGUCAAAUGUCUUUGCGACAAACCAUAAACAAUGUUUCUAAGACAGGAAUGAUUAAAAAAGACUCGCGAGGUCGCUGUGCACCUAAAAAUAAGACAUCUGAGCAAUCUAUUAAACAUGUCAAUGAUUUUAUUAAUAAAAUACCAGUGGUGCCAUCCCAUUAUUGCCGCUCCCAAACAAAGAAACUUUACGUGCUUUCUGAAAUUGGAAAUUUUUCAAAUCUAUACAGAUUGUAUAAGGAAGAUUGUAAAAUGCAAAAAUGGAUCCAGUGAGCAGAGCAACGUUUUUAAGGAUUUUUAAAGGUUAAAAUCUAGGCAUUUAUGUAAAAAAAAAGAUAAAUGCAGUCUUGUGAUAGGGGCCUAAGUACAGGCGAAAAAAAUGUAGAAGCAGCAGAUUUAUAAAACUAUCUGCGUCAUAGAGAAGAGAUAAAAAACAGUUGUGAUAAAUUUAAAAAAGAUCAAGAAAAUUGCGAUCCAAAUUUCAUGUGUGCAUCUUUUGAUCUACAGAAGGUGUUAACUACGCCACACGGAAACCGUAUACUUUUAUAUUAUGCUCGUAAAUUAGCUGUUUACAAUUUCACGGUAUAUGAAAGUAUAACAAAAAACGGUUUUUGUUUCCUGUGGAACGAGACUUUGGGAAAAAAAUUUUCAAACAAAGUUUGCACUGCCCUACAAAAAUACCUUGAACUUUUAGAUCAACGUAUUUCUCCUAAAAUAUCCGAACUUUCCCUGUACUGCGAUAAUUGCAGUGGACAAAAUAAAAACAAACAAGUUUUGGCAAUGAUUAACACAUUUCUUAAAACAUCUAUUCACAUAAAAAAAAUCACAUUAAACUAUCUAAUUGCCGGCCAUACAUACACGCCUGUUGAUUAUAUGCAUUCUACUAUAGAAUCAUUUAUAUCAAAAAGAAACAUUUACGCACCUUCAAUGUAGAAAUCUGCUAUAAGGCUUGCAAGGCACACACCCGGACCAUAUUUCAUCAAUUUAUUAAACUAUGAUAAUUUUCUGAACUAUUCAACCAAUGCAAAAGGGGUUUCUAAUUUUUUCCCAGUAUGUUGAAGACACAGAAACUACUGAACAACCUGAAUCAAUUUUAAAGAAAAAACGAAUUAAAACUAGAAGCAAAAAACCUAAAUUAGUCAAAGGUAAGCCCCUACAAAUUUCCAAAAUUCGGGUAGUAAAAAUGGAAGCAGAAAACCAAAAAUACAUGACAGUUCAGUAUAGUUAUUUGCAAGGGUUAGCCAAUGAACAGCACUUUACUAUUAAAAAUGACGGAAAGCCCCUUAAUAAAUGCUACACUUCCCUACUGCCGAUAUCGGCGGCUAAAUACAAAGAUCUCAGCAAAUUAUGUUUGCAGUCAGCUAUUCCUAUUAUCGCGAAUUCAUUAGUCUGCCACAUUCGCAGGACAUUAUAGAUGUAU
rnacentral:misc_RNA from 1 species